CCGCUCCAGCAGCUUGGCUUCGAACGCCGCUUUCAGACCGGCCGGAACGAACACCCGCGUGCCGUUGGUGCAGACCUGGCCGGAGCUGA
rnacentral:tRNA from 1 species